ensembl:miRNA Mir881 microRNA 881
UGCAGUACAAUAUUCAGAGAGAUAACAGUCACAUCUUUUCUAAAGUAACUGUGUCUUUUCUGAAUAGAGUAAUGUUCA